UCAGAAUGAUUGUGCCUUAAACAAUGGA
rnacentral:piRNA from 1 species